rnacentral:rRNA from 1 species
UGGUAAUGCCGGAUGCUCCAUCACACCGCAUGGUGUGUUGGGAAAGCCUUUGCGGCAUGGGAUGGGGUCGCGUCCUAUCAGCUUGAUGGCGGGGUAACGGCCCACCAUGGCUUCGACGGGUAGCCGGCCUGAGAGGGCGACCGGCCACAUUGGGACUGAGAUACGGCCCAGACUCCUACGGGAGGCAGCAGUGGGGAAUAUUGCACAAUGGGCGCAAGCCUGAUGCAGCGACGCCGCGUGAGGGAUGGAGGCCUUCGGGUUGUAAACCUCUUUUGUUAGGGAGCAAGGCAUUUUGUGUUGAGUGUACCUUUCGAAUAAGCACCGGCUAACUACGUGCCAGCAGCCGCGGUAAUACGUAGGGUGCAAGCGUUAUCCGGAAUUAUUGGGCGUAAAGGGCUCGUAGGCGGUUCGUCGCGUCCGGUGUGAAAGUCCAUCGCUUAACGGUGGAUCCGCGCCGGGUACGGGCGGGCUUGAGUGCGGUAGGGGAGACUGGAAUUCCCGGUGUAACGGUGGAAUGUGUAGAUAUCGG